rnacentral:rRNA from 1 species
UACGUAGGGGGCAAGCGUUGUCCGGAAUUAUUGGGCGUAAAGCGCGUGUAGGCGGUCCGGUAAGUCGGUUGUGAAAGUCCAGGGCUCAACCCUGGGAUGCCGACCGAUACUGUCGGACUAGAGUUCGGAAGAGGCGAGUGGAAUUCCCGGUGUAGCGGUGAAAUGCGCAGAUAUCGGGAGGAACACCAAUGGCGAAGGCAGCUCGCUGGGACGUUACUGACGCUGAGACGCGAAAGCGUGGGGAGCGAACAGG